CCAGCAGUGCUUGGGAGCCGUGGGGCGGGCGGGUAGCGACAGCCUCUGGGCGCGGAGUAGUCCCCAUCACCUAAGUGCUCCAGCUCGGGCCCGGCUCCGGCGGAUCGGGCUGUGGACAGGGCUGCACGUGUGCAAGUCCCAUUCCGGGUUUCACGAGCACCACUUGACCCCUCCCCUGCCCUGAAUCUGAGCCAGCACCAUGCACGGGCGCCUGAAGGUGAAGACAUCGGAAGAGCAAGAGGAAGCCAAAAGGCUAGAGCGGGCACAGAAGCUGAAGCUAUACCAGUCAGCCACCCAGACUGUCUUCCAGAAGCGCCAGGCUGGAGAGCUGGAUGAAUCAGUGCUGGAACUGACAAGCCAGAUUCUGGGAGCCAACCCUGACUUUGCCACCCUCUGGAAUUGUCGCCGAGAGGUGCUCCAGCGGCUGGAGGUCCAGAAGUCCCCCGAGGAGUUGGCCACUCUGGUGAAGGCAGAACUGGGCUUCCUGGAGAGCUGUCUGAGGGUGAACCCCAAGUCUUACGGUACCUGGCACCACCGCUGCUGGCUGCUGGGCCGCCUGCCAGAGCCCAACUGGGCCCGGGAGCUGGAGUUGUGUGCUCGCUUCCUCGAGGUUGAUGAGCGGAACUUUCACUGCUGGGACUACCGGCGGUUUGUGGCUGCACAGGCAGCUGUGCCCCCUGCAGAGGAGUUAGCCUUCACUGACAGCCUCAUCACCCGAAACUUCUCCAACUAUUCCUCCUGGCAUUACCGCUCCUGCCUCUUGCCCCAGCUGCAUCCCCAGCCAGACUCUGGACCCCAGGGGCGCCUCCCUGAGGAUGUGCUGCUCAAAGAGCUGGAGCUGGUGCAGAACGCCUUCUUCACUGACCCCAAUGAUCAGAGUGCCUGGUUCUACCAUCGUUGGCUCCUGGGACGAGCGGAUCCCCAGGAUGCCCUGCGCUGCCUGCACGUGAGCCGGGAUGAGGCCUGUCUGACUGUCUCCUUCUCCCGGCCCCUCCUAGUGGGCUCCAGGACGGAGACCUUGCUGCUCAUGGUGGACGAGUCACCCCUGGCCGUGGCGUGGAGGACCCCAGAUGGCAGGAACCGGCCUAGCCACGUCUGGCUCUGUGACCUGCCCGCCACCUCUCUCAACGACCAGUUGCCCCAACAUACAUUUCGUGUCAUUUGGACAGCAGGCGAUGCCCAGAAGGAGUGUGUGCUCUUGAAAGGCCGCCAAGAGGGCUGGUGCCGGGACUCCGCCACGGAUGAACAGCUCUUUAGGUGUGAGCUGUCGGUGGAGAAGUCCACGGUGCUACAGUCCGAGCUUGAAUCCUGUAAGGAGCUGCAGGAGCUGGAGCCUGAGAAUAAAUGGUGCCUGCUCACCAUCAUCUUGCUGAUGCGGGCGCUGGACCCCCUGCAGUAUGAGAAGGAGACGCUGCAAUACUUCCAGACCCUCAAGGCCGUGGACCCUAUGCGGGCCGCGUACCUGGACGACCUGCGAAGCAAGUUCCUGCUGGAGAACAGCGUGCUCAAGAUGGAGUACGCGGAGGUGCGUGUGCUGCAUCUUGGUCACAAGGAUCUGACGGUGCUCUGCCACCUGGAGCAGCUGCUCUUGAUCACUCACCUCGACCUGUCGCACAAUCGUCUCCGAGCCCUGCCCCCUGCCCUGGCUGCCCUGCGCUGCCUCGAGGUGCUGCAGGCCAAUGACAACACUAUCGAGUCCCUGGACGGUGUCACUAACCUGCCCCGGCUGCAGGAGCUCUUUCUGUGCAACAACCGCCUCCAUCAGCCUUCAGUGCUCCAGCCUCUUGCCUCCUGCCCCAGGCUGGUCCUCCUCAACCUGCAGGGCAACCCCCUGUGCCAAGCAGUGGGCAUCUCGGAGCAUCUGGCCGAGCUGCUGCCUUCAGUUCGCAGCAGCCUCACCUAAGAGACUCUGCCCCCGCCCCCUGCCCUUUAACUUAUUGGAACUGAAUAAACAAUGAAGAGGCCCCCAAAGGCUGCUAAGCCGCCGCCGCCGCCACCAUCAUUACUACCGCUACCUAUCCUGGAAAGGAAAGGGAGAGAGUGAGGGGUCCCAUGGACAGAGCUGGGACAACAGCGGGAUGGAAGGAAGAGACCCCAGGAACAGGGUCCCAGCCUUCCGGAAGAUGUCUGACCUCUUCUUUGCCUUGGGGUUCUCUUGGUGGCCUCCCUGGCAUUUCUCCCAGUGUCAGGGUGAAGUUGGGGCAGGUGCCUGGAGCCGGUUGGUCAGGAUUCCCAGGAAGAAUUCCAGGUUG